GUGUCAGCCGCCGCGGUAAAACGUAGGAGACAAGCGUUAUCCGGAGUUACUGGGCGUAAAGGGCGUGUAGGCGGCUGUUUAAGUGGGUUGUGAAAGCGUCUGGCUUAACCGGGCGAGGCCGACCCAGACUGGACAGCUGGAGGGCGGUAGAGGAGUGUGGAAUUCCGGGUGUAGUGGUGAAAUGCGUAGAGAUCCGGAGGAACACCAGAGGCGAAGGCGACACUCUAGGCCGCACCUGACGCUGAGACGCGACAGCACGGGGAGCAAACGGGAUUAGAAACCCGCGUAGUCC
rnacentral:rRNA from 1 species